UGUUUCGGCAAGGGGGUCAUCCCGACUUACCAACCCGAUGCAAACUGCGAAUACCGGAGAAUGUUAUCACGGGAGACACACGGCGGGUGCUAACGUCCGUCGUGAAGAGGGAAACAACCCAGACCGCCAGCUAAGGUCCCAAAGUCAUGGUUAAGUGGGAAACGAUGUGGGAAGGCCCAGACAGCCAGGAUGUUGGCUUAGAAGCAGCCAUCAUUUAAAGAAAGCGUAAUAGCUCACUGGUCGAGUCGGCCUGCGCGGAAGAUGUAACGGGGCUAAACCAUGCACCGAAGCUGCGGCAGCGACGCUGAUGCGUUGUUGGGUAGGGGAGCGUUCUGUAAGCCUGCGAAGGUGUGCUGUGAGGCAUGCUGGAGGUAUCAGAAGUGCGAAUGCUGACAUAAGUAACGAUAAAGCGGGUGAAAAGCCCGCUCGCCGGAAGACCAAGGGUUCCUGUCCAACGUUAAUCGGGGCAGGGUGAGUCGACCCCUAAGGCGAGGCCGAAAGGCGUAGUCGAUGGGAAACAGGUUAAUAUUCCUGUACUUGGUGUUACUGCGAAGGGGGGACGGAGAAGGCUAUGUUGGCCGGGCGACGGUUGUCCCGGUUUAAGCGUGUAGGCUGGUUUUCCAGGCAAAUCCGGAAAAUCAAGGCUGAGGCGUGAUGACGAGGCACUACGGUGCUGAAGCAACAAAUGCCCUGCUUCCAGGAAAAGCCUCUAAGCAUCAGGUAACAUCAAAUCGUACCCCAAACCGACACAGGUGGUCAGGUAGAGAAUACCAAGGCGCUUGAGAGAACUCGGGUGAAGGAACUAGGCAAAAUGGUGCCGUAACUUCGGGAGAA
rnacentral:rRNA from 1 species